AGUCUUGAGGUGUUUAAACAUAUUAGAUUGCAAAUCUAAGGUAGCAGGUUAGAUCCGGCCGAGACUU
rnacentral:tRNA from 1 species